UACGUAGGGGGCAAGCGUUGUUCGGAUUUACUGGGCGUAAAGGGCGCGUAGGCGGCGCGUAAAGUCGGACAUGGAAUCAUUAGGCUCAACCUAAUGGCUGUGUCCGAUACUUACGUGCUUGGAGUGCGGGAGAGGCAGCCGGAAUUCUCGGUGUAGCGGUGAAGUGCGUAGAUAUCGAGAGGAACACCGGUGACGAAGGUGGGUUGCUGGACCGACACUGACGCUGAGGCGAGAAAGCUAGGGGAGCAAACGGG
rnacentral:rRNA from 1 species